rnacentral:lncRNA from 1 species
AGUCACAUCAACGCCCGAGUCUAUGGUGAUGAUAAUGUUUGUGCAAAGUGGAUGCCAAGUGACUGCACAAUCAAGGUUUCUGAGUAGUUGAAAUAGAUAAGUCUUGAGUCAAUCAGUACAUCUGUACCACAUUCAUGUGGCAAAUGCUGCUUUAUGGAGAUGUUUCUAAUACUGACCUACAAUAAUUCAGCCAAGAUCACGUUUCUACUGUCUUCAGGAAAUGAGAAAAAUGAAUCCAGGAAAUUUCCAUCUUUAACUAUACUCUGUAAAUGUGCUGUCCAAUACACAGAUAGCUACUGAGCACUGGAAUAUAGCUAGUCUGAAUGGAGAUGUUCUGUUUGACUUUUUUGGACUCCACAUGUGUGAGAUCAUGCAAUAUUUGUCUUUCUGUGCCUGGCUUAUUUCACUUAGCGUAAUGUCCUCCAGGCUCAUCCAGGUUGUUGCAAAAGGCAGGAUUUUCUUCUUUUUUAAGGCUUGGAGAGUCAUUUGUUUUCAUAAGAGCGAGCAGUUAAAGUGAAAACAAGAUCACGGAAAAGGAGAUAUAUUUUGGUAGAUCCAAGAAUCUAUGUUUGAUAGAGUCUUCACAGAAAGAGUCGAAAUUGACAACAUGCUUAUUGCUUUGGCUUUGGAUGUUGGUUGGGAACAUGGUUCUUGAAUAUCCACACUUCAAAGUAGAUCUUACUUUUUGGAAGAGUAGAAAGCUCAUUACGUUGGUUAAUUUGAGAAGUAAGACAAGGGCUCAGAAAGGUACUAGUUAUUAGUACCUUAUACACUAGCCUGCCUGGCAUUCUUACCAUGACAGUGAAUUGUCAUGGUAAGAGUUGUGGUUUUAAACCUCUUUUCCCCAGAUGUUACAUGGAGUAAUAUAUGUAUCCACAUACAUAUUAAAGUAGGAGGUAGAUAUUAUAUUGACUGGUGACUUGAGGACAUGAUACACAAAAUAGGUAACGUUUGAUGAAGCUUGAAAUGAGCCAAGAAAGGACAAAUCUGGAUAACACACUGUAGCCUUGGUGAUGAGAAAGGAGAAAGGAAAGAUAAUGAAGAUGGGUAUCAUAUUGCUUUGCCUUGAAUUUGCAGAAAGAGAUAUUUGGAUUAUGAUGUUACCUUAAAAAAGGCAGUUGAUAUUACUCAGUGAAAGUUCAGAAGCCAAGAAAACUAUGUGUGUGUACAUAUAUGUAUAUAAUGUACAUAUGUUUAUUUCUUUUUUUAAAAAAUUCUUACCUACCUCUCUACUAUAACAAAAUUAAUUUCAUUCUUUUUUGUUGCAUUUAAACUUUAUCUUGGUAAUGUUCAUAUUACAAAUUUGCCUAUAUUGUUGGUAUUAUAUUGUUACUAUAUAGAUAUAUUUGUAAGCAUAAAUGCUUGGUAUUCAAAUGUUUAACUAGUAAUAUUCAUAUUACAAAUUUGCAUAUAUGUUUGGUAUGAUAUUGUUACUAUAUAGAUAUGUUAUAUUUGUAAGCAUCAAUGCGUGGUAUUCAAAUGUUUAACAACUCUCCAUUUUUUUCUCAAGUAACCCUCUGACAAAAGGCUGUAUUUAUAUAAAACUGACAGAUUUUUAUGGUGGAUCAUUUUUCUUACAUUAAUUACAUAGGUAGUAUUAUUUUAGUUGGAGGUCAAAUAACAUACUAUCAAUGACAAUUUAGAGAUAAAUUGUUUGAAAUCCUGAUAUGGAAGAGCUAUAGAAAUAACAUGGGUGACCUCACGUUUUUAAGAUAGCCUCUCUGCACCAUAUGGCUAGUCCCAAAUGGAGAUCAAGAAAGCAAGGUCAUUUUUAAUCUCUACAUACAUCUUGCUUUCCUGGUUUAACACUAAUCAUUCAUUGUAUUCUGCAUAUUGGAAGGGAGCAGAUGAAGGAUACUAAGAAUUCACUUUGAAAACAUGUACUCAAUGUUUCAUAUCCAAAAACUCCCAGGGAUUAAACAAUCAGAAAACCCUACAUCAUUUGCAUUUUAAUGGAUACAAAUAAGAGUUGAAACAUUUCUUUACACUUAAACUACCAUGAACAAGCUUAUAUAGCUAUUAGGAGUGAAAAUGGGGAGGAGGAGGAAGAAGGGGACUCUGAAAUUUAAGGAAAAUUCAUUUCUUUUACAGAGUUGGAGCUAGGCUGAUUAAGUCAAGGUGCCUAACUCUGCUAGAGACACAUUUUCCUAAUGAAAAAUACUGUAACUUCAGACUUUUCACAUUUUCCAUGAAUAGAUGUCAUUACUCAUUAUCACAUUUAUCAUUACUUGUAAAACAAUGAGGUGGCAGCAGGGGGGGAAAGGACUAAAAUAGAAUUGAAAAAAAAAUUGGUACUAGCUAAGGUAAUUUAAAUGAAGCUUUUUUUUUUCCAGAAGCAAAGGUGACCUCCAUGAUUACUCCACCAUACCUUUGGGAAACUGACAUAAGAUAGUGGACAACUAUAAUGGAAAGAAUAGUGACUACGGUUUCUCUCCACCCUCCUCUAAUUCUGCAUUAGAAAUGAAAAAAAGCUUGACUGGUAAAAUUCUGAAACAGACAAUGAGCUAUUUAAGUGAUAAUUACUGAAUCUCAUUUUUAGAAGCCCAUUAACAGGUAUCUCUUUAGUCAUGAGAAAAUUAUUCAUAAAUAUUAAAUUGUGUGAUCACAUUGCAAGUUUCUUUCAAAUUAUAGAAUCUGACUAAUUUCACAGUAACUGUUUGCCAUUAAUUGGCUUUAAGAUUUAAUCAAGUAAAGACAUCAUUGUUUAAUUCUAAUUUGUAAAGCCAAAAAAAGUGUAACAUUAUUAUCUUUAGUCAAACUUCUUCAAAUGUUUAUGCAAGGUAGAAAUUGAAAACAACAGGUACUCCUGUGCUUACAGUUUCUCCAGUUCAAAGAACAAAAUUCAUCAAUGGGAAGCUGCAGUGGAUUGUAGAGUAAAAUCUUGCUGCCCAACUAGAGAAUAAAAAGAGUUUGACCAGACUUAUAACAAUGACAUAAUGGCCAUUUUGUUGAGUUCUUAAUGAGUUUAGUAGGUAGUGAAAUGGGAAAGGUUCCCUUGUCCCCCUUGCAGGGUGUGUGGUGGGGGUGUAGCUUGCUUCUUCAGUGCCCCACUGCUCAAACUUCUAGGGGAGCAUACAGAUGGGCAGGUUGUGGGGCUCCAACCCCACGGCAGUGUCUAGGGGUGAAUGUUUACAGCUCCUGAAGUGCCAGUGGGCGUGUGUUACAGGGUGCUCUGUUAGUUUGCCCUCUCUAGGCAGCUUGUGUUAACCAGCUCAGUUGGACUUUGUUGCAAGGAUAGAAGACUUUCUGUAUCUCCAGGUUCUUGCCUUGGUGUACCAGAAGAAUCAAUCACACAUGGUCUUGGAGAAUGAGUGCAAAGUUUUAUUGAGUGCAGGUAGCUCUCUGCUGCUCUUCCACCAGUAUGCUCUCCACAACCAGCCGCUUGUGUGUUCUUCCACUGAUGUGUCCUCUCAAUGUCCAGACGCUUCUGUCUCUGCCUUGCUAGGAUCUUGGGCUUUUAUAGACCUUGGAUGGGGAGGUGGUGAGCCAGGGUGGUCUUGGGAAAUGCAACAUUUGGGCGUGAAGUCAGGAGUGCCUGUUCUCACCUAGGUCCGUGGGGGUAAAGCCCUAGCUAGGGACCAUGCCUUCCUCUACCCAGCACUUCCCUUCCUCAUUCUGUAUCAUUUAAAGAGACCACACUCCUCCCUUCCCAGCACUCCUGUAUCAGUAGGAAGAUAGAAGAAAACUCUAGAUCACCAUCAAGUUCAAGUCAUUUCAGAUUUUCAGUGAAUAUAUGUUUGCUGUGUCCUUCAGGUACCAAGAUGCAGGGAAAUGAUUAAAAGGCCCUGAGAUAUACAAUACUGAAUGGUAGGGAGGAGGAGGCCUUCUAGGUUGGAAAGUCCCGUAGCUGACUAGCUACUAAAUGUUCUAUCAGCUAUUGAUAAGACCGUGUUCAGAACAUACGGAAAUUGUAGGAUAUAAUUUUUGUAUGUUACUUGUCACCAGCUGUUCAAUAUUAUGAAUUAUUCCUGAGACAUUACAGAAGUUGAGAAUGAAUUGUGCCCAUAAACAGAAAACAUAUUAACCUAUACAAUACACUCGUUUUCCUUUUAGAGACACGAAUACCCCUAGCUCAAGGAGUCGAUAUGUAUAAAAUAGGCAACUAGGGGCAUGCAAAUAUUGUGGAAAUGGUGUUUCUGAUUGGCACUGGCAGAUUUAUUAUUCGAAAUAAUCCUGUUGGCAAAAAAAGGAAAUUUUUUUUCCGUAUCAUAAAAUCUGAUUUCAAAAACUUGCUCCUUUUUGACUUUCUCUAUAAGCUUGUAAGUCUGCAUUCUUCUCUCAUUUUUAUAUCCAGGCUCUAUUGUAAUUUAUCUGUUGCUAACCAGUUUUCAAUAAAA